rnacentral:rRNA from 1 species
AAUGGUGACUUCNUAAGCUUGUAACCGUCUNNUUUAAAGGUUUUGUACCUCGANUUUUGGUGAGAAUUUNUCGGUUCACCGGUCNAAAGGGUGUUUAAAAACUUUCAUAUAUGUAAAUUUGUAUNCAGUGGGUUCUCCGGCAUCAAUACCUGGUUGGUAAGUCUAUGUUGGGUUUUUAAAUUUUCGUANAUGCUAAAUCUGUNNUGNAAGAAACUCUUUUAACUCAAGUCUUUGAUCAAUGUCAGUAGUACUUUCCAGAGAUGGUAUUGGUGCCUUCGGGAACUCUGACACAGGUGCUGCAUGGCUGUCGUCAGCUCGUGUCGUGAGAUGUUGGGUUAAGUCCCGUAACGAGCUGCAACCCUUGUCCUUAGUUACCAGCACGUUAUGGUGGGCACUCUAAUGGAGACUGCCGGUGACAUAACCGGAGGAAGGUGGGGUAUGACGUCAAGUCAUCAUGGCCCUUACGGCCUGGGCUACACUACGUGCUACAAUGGUCGGUACAGAGGGUUGCCAAGCCGCGAGGUGGAGCUAAUCUCACAAAACCGAUCGUAGUCCGGAUCGCAGUCUGCAACUCGACUGCGUGAAGUCGGAAUCGUCUAGUAAUCGCGAAUUCAGAAUGUCGCGGUGAAUACGUUCCCGGGCCUUGUACACACUCGCCCGUCACACCAUGGGAGUGGGUUGCACCAGAAGUAGCUAGUCGUAACCUUCGGGGGGACGGUUACCACGGUGUGAUUCAUGACUGGGGUGAAGUCGUACAUGUAAACGAUCGGCCGNCUUUCAGUCUGAUCACACCUUACACCGUUAAGCAUUCCGCGCCAGGAA